GAAAAUGCCAUUAGUUUUUCCAUGAAUUACUACAUAGUAUUUAAAACGAGGCCUACUUUUUUCGGCCAUGUAAUGACAUAAAGCAUUCAUAGAUGCCAUGAAAUGGUUUCUAUUUUGUCUGUUAUAAGAAAUCCAGAGGUUAUCGAUUAAACACCUUUGGGGUCUGUCUAAAACAUAGUCUGGUCUUACUCUAAAUGAUAUAUUGCUCUCAGGAUAUGCUAUUAAAUUAAAUGGGCCGAAAUGAAUUCGUUCCAUUGUCU
rnacentral:lncRNA from 1 species